rnacentral:rRNA from 1 species
UGAGGAAUAUUGGUCAAUGGGCGAGAGCCUGAACCAGCCAAGUCGCGUGAGGGAAGACGGUCCUAUGGAUUGUAAACCUCUUUUGUCGGGGAGCAAGAAAGGGUAUGUAUACCCUACUGAGAGUACCCGAAGAAAAAAGCAUCGGCUAACUCCGUGCCAGCAGCCGCGGUAAUACGGAGGAUGCGAGCGUUAUCCGGAUUUAUUGGGUUUAAAGGGUGCGCAGGCGGACUGUUAAAGUCAGCGGGUAAAAAUUGCGGGGCUCAACCCCGUCGAGCCGUUGAAACUGGCGGUCUUGAGUGGGCGAGAAGUAUGCGGAAUGCGUGGUGUAGCGGUGAAAUGCAUAGAUAUCACGCAGAACUCCGAUUGCGAAGGCAGCAUACCGGCGCCCGACUGACGCUCAUGCACGAAAAGCGUGGGUAUCGAACAGGAUUAGAUACC